UCCCUCUCAGGGUCACAUCUGGAGAGUUUCCAGUACUCUACCAGUCUCGGCUACAGGAGGGAUAGUCAAGAAGAGGCAUAUCCAUUCCAUUCCUCGAUUGGGCAGUGGCUAGCGAGGGGAAGACAAUCUGCUACAAGC